UUAUACCGAGGCGUACGCUGUCAUCAUGCCUGUGCAGAGUCAUAGACAUGUCUAAAAGCAUAAUACAAUAUAAGUUUUGUUGAAAAAG